rnacentral:rRNA from 1 species
UACGGAGGGUGCAAGCGUUAAUCGGAAUUACUGGGCGUAAAGCGCGUGCAGGCGGCGCGGUAAGUUGGGUGUGAAAUCUCCCGGCUCAACUGGGAGAGGUCAUUCAAUACUACCGUGCUAGAGAGCAGAAGAGGAAGAUGGAAUUCCCGGUGUAGAGGUGAAAUUCGUAGAUAUCGGGAGGAACACCAGCGGCGAAGGCGGCCUUCUGGACGGUGACUGACGCUCAGACGCGAAAGCGUGGGGAGCAAAC